rnacentral:rRNA from 1 species
GAUGAACGCUGGCGGCGUGCCUAAUACAUGCAAGUCGAGCGAACAGACGAGGAGCUUGCUCCUUCGACGUUAGCGGCGGACGGGUGAGUAACACGUAGGUAACCUACCUAUAUGACUGGGAUAAUUUCGGGAAACCGGAGAUAAUACCAGAUAAUAUUUCGAACCGCAUGGUUCGAUAGUGAAAGAUGGCUUUGCUAUCACUUAUAGCUGGUCCUGCGCCGUAUUAGCUAGUUGGUAAGGUAACGGCGUACCAAGGCAACGAUGCGUAGCCGACCUGAGAGGAUGAGCAGCCACACUGGAACUGAGACACGGUCCAGACUCCUACGGGAGGCAGCAGUAGGGAAUCUUCCGCAAAGGGCGAAAGCCUGACCGAGCAACGCCGCGUGAGUGAUGAAGGUCUUCGGGUCGUAAAACUCUGUUAUUGGGGAAGAACAACCGUUUAAGUAACUCUGCACGUCUUGACGGUACCUAAUCAGAAAGCCACGGCUAACUUCGUG